CCCCGAAGGAUCGGGG
rnacentral:misc_RNA from 1 species